AUUUGUGUGGUGAUCAUUCGCUAGUAUCCUUUUCUAUUUUUCUUUUUCUUUAUUUUUUGAUAUUUGUAUGACUAUUAU
rnacentral:ribozyme from 1 species